rnacentral:rRNA from 1 species
GACGAACGCUGGCGGCGUGCUUAACACAUGCAAGUCGAACGGAAAGGCCCUGCUUUUGUGGGGUGCUCGAGUGGCGAACGGGUGAGUAACACGUGAGUAACCUGCCCUUGACUUUGGGAUAACUUCAGGAAACUGGGGCUAAUACCGGAUAGGAGCUCCUGCUGCAUGGUGGGGGUUGGAAAGUUUCGGCGGUUGGGGAUGGACUCGCGGCUUAUCAGCUUGUUGGUGGGGUGGUGGCUUACCAAGGCUUUGACUGGUAGCCGGCCUGAGAGGGUGACCGGCCACAUUGGGACUGGGAUACGGCCCAGACUCCUACUGGAGGCAGCAGUGGGGAAUAUUGCACAAUGGGCGGAAGCCUUAUGCAGCAACGCCGCGUGCGGGAUGACGGCCUUCGGGUUGUAAACCGCUUUCGCCUGUGACGAAGCGUGAGUGACGGUAAUGGGUAAAGAAGCACCGGCUAACUACGUG